rnacentral:rRNA from 1 species
UACGUAGGGACCGAGCGUUGUCCGGAUUCAUUGGGCGUAAAGAGCUCGUAGGCGGCCACUCAAGUCGAAUGUGAAACCUCGAGGCUUAACCUCGAGCCUGCAUUCGAUACUGGGCGGCUAGAGUCUGGUAGGGGGAUCUGGAAUUCCUGGUGUAGCGGUGGAAUGCGCAGAUAUCAGGAGGAACACCUGCGGUGUAGACGGCUUACUGGACCAUAACUGACGCUGAGGCACGAAAGCGUGGGUAGCAAACAGG